GCCCGGCUAGCUUAAUCGGCAGAGCGUGAACGCUUACAUCCCUUGUAGAGGAAUAGGAAUGGACGAGUUACGUCAAGGCUGUGGGUUCGACCCUCAUGUUUAGCU